AUUGAACGCUGGCGGCAGGCCUAACACAUGCAAGUCGAACGAGUGGCGGACGGGUGAGUAAUGUCUGGGAAACUGCAUGAUGGAGGGGGAUAACUACUGGAAACGGUAGCUAAUACCGCAUACCAUCAGAUGUGGCCAGAUGGGAUUAGCUUGUGGGUGGGGUAACGGCUCACCAAGGCGACGAUCCAUAGCUGGUCUGAGAGGAUGACCCGCCACACUGGAACUGAGACACGGUCCAGACUCCUACGGGAGGCAGCAGUGGGGAAUAUUGCACAAUGGGCGCAAGCCUGAUGCAGCCAUGCCGCGUGUGUGAAGAAGGCCUUCGGAUUGUAAAGUACUUUUAGCAGGGAGGCGUUACCCACAGAAGAAGCACCGGCUAACUCCGUGACAGCAGCCGCGGUAAUUC
rnacentral:rRNA from 1 species